UACAGAGGGGGCGAGCGUUGUUCGGAAUUACUGGGCGUAAAGGGCGCGUAGGCGGCCCGCUAAGUCGAACGUGAAAUCCCCAGGCUCAACCUGGGAACUGCGUCCGAUACUGGCAGGCUUGAAUCCGGGAGAGGGAUGUGGAAUUCCAGGUGUAGCGGUGAAAUGCGUAGAUAUCUGGAGGAACACCGGUGGCGAAGGCGGCAUCCUGGACUGGUAUUGACGCUGAGGCGCGAAAGCUAGGUGAGCAAACGGG
rnacentral:rRNA from 1 species